CCGUCGAUAGCUCAGUUGGUAGAGCGGUGGACUGUAGAUGAGUACUUGCUGACAUCCAUAGGUCGCUGGUUCGAAUCCGGCUCGACGGA
rnacentral:tRNA from 2 species